CUUACACAUGCAAGUCGAACGAUGAAGCCCUUCGGGGUGGAUUAGUGGCGAACGGGUGAGUAACACGUGGGCAAUCUGCCCUUCACUCUGGGACAAGCCCUGGAAACGGGGUCUAAUACCGGAUAACACUCCUCAGGGCAUCCUGGGGGGUUAAAAGCUCCGGCGGUGAAGGAUGAGCCCGCGGCCUAUCAGCUUGUUGGUGGGGUAAUGGCCUACCAAGGCGACGACGGGUAGCCGGCCUGAGAGGGCGACCGGCCACACUGGGACUGAGACACGGCCCAGACUCCUACGGGAGGCAGCAGUGGGGAAUAUUGCACAAUGGGCGAAAGCCUGAUGCAGCGACGCCGCGUGAGGGAUGACGGCCUUCGGGUUGUAAACCUCUUUCAGCAGGGAAGAAGCGAAAGUGACGGUACCUGCAGAAGAAGCGCCGGCUAACUACGUGCCAGCAGCCGCGGUAAUACGUAGGGCGCAAGCGUUGUCCGGAAUUAUUGGGCGUAAAGAGCUCGUAGGCGGCUUGUCACGUCGGAUGUGAAAGCCCGGGGCUUAACCCCGGGUCUGCAUUCGAUACGGGCUAGCUAGAGUGUGGUAGGGGAGAUCGGAAUUCCUGGUGUAGCGGUGAAAUGCGCAGAUAUCAGGAGGAACACCGGUGGCGAAGGCGGAUCUCUGGGCCAUUACUGACGCUGAGGAGCGAAAGCGUGGGGAGCGAACAGGAUUAGAUACCCUGGUAGUCCACGCCGU
rnacentral:rRNA from 1 species